AUUGAACGCUGGCGGCAGGCCUAACACAUGCAAGUCGAGCGGCAGCGGGACCUUCGGGUUGCCGGCGAGCGGCGGACGGGUGGGUAAUGCCUAGGAAUCUGCCUGUUAGUGGGGGAUAACGCGGGGAAACUCGCGCUAAUACCGCAUACGUCCUACGGGAGAAAGCGGGGGCUCUUCGGACCUCGCGCUAACAGAUGAGCCUAGGUCGGAUUAGCUAGUUGGUGGGGUAAUGGCUCACGAAGGCGACGAUCCGUAAAUGGUCUGAGAGGAUGAUCAGUCACACUGGAACUGAGACACGGUCCAGACUCCUACGGGAGGCAGCAGUGGGGAAUAUUGGACAAUGGGCGAAAGCCUGAUCCAGCCAUGCCGCGUGUGUGAAGGAGGUCUUCGGAUUGUAAAGCACUUUAAGUCGGGAGGAAGGGCUGUAGGUUAAUACCCUGCGGUUUUGACGUUACCGACAGAAUAAGCACCGGCUAACUUCGUGCCAGCAGCCGCAGUAAGAC
rnacentral:rRNA from 1 species